rnacentral:tRNA from 1 species
GCCUUCUUGGCUCAGUUGGUUAGAGCGCAGGUCUCAUAAUCCUGAGGUCAUGAGUUCGAACCUCAUAGAAGGCA